rnacentral:rRNA from 1 species
AUUGAACGCUGGCGGCAGGCCUAACACAUGCAAGUCGAGCGAGCGGCGGACAGGUGAGUAAUGUCUGGGAAACUGCCUGAUGGAGGGGGAUAACUACUGGAAACGGUAGCUAAUACCGCAUACCAUCAGAUGUGCCCAGAUGGGAUUAGCUAGUGGGUGGGGUAACGGCUCACCUAGGCGACGAUCCCUAGCUGGUCGGAGAGUAGGACCAGCCAAACUGGAACUGAGACACGGUCCAGACUCCUACGGGAGGCAGCAGUGGGGAAUAUGGCACAAUGGGCGCAAGCCUGAUGCAGCCAUGCCGGGUGUGUGAAGAAGCCCUUCGGGUUGUAAAGCACUUUCAGCGGGGAGGCGUUACCCGCAGAAGAAGCACCGGCUAACUCCGUGCCAGCAGCCGCGGUAAUUC